GAGGAAGUAAAAGUCGUAACAAGGUUUCCGUAGGUGAACCUGCGGAAGGAUCAUUACUGAAUUCAUGACAAGGUUGUAGCUGGCCCCAUCCGGGCAUGUGCACGCCUUGCUCAUUCCAAUUCUACACCUCUGUGCACUUAACAUGGGUUGGUUGCGGCUCGUCUUUCGGGAUGGGCUUGACCGCCUGUGGUUUUCUACAAACUCAUAUAGUAAUAGAAUGUAAACCGCGUAUAAUAACGCAUCUUAUACAACUUUCAGCAACGGAUCUCUUGGCUCUCGCAUCGAUGAAGAACGCAGCGAAAUGCGAUAAGUAAUGUGAAUUGCAGAAUUCAGUGAAUCAUCGAAUCUUUGAACGCACCUUGCGCUCCUUGGUAUUCCGAGGAGCAUGCCUGUUUGAGUGUCAUGGUAUUCUCAACUCCCUAAAUCUUUGCGGAUUUUGGGUGAGUUGGAUGUGGAGGUGAUUGCUGGCGUGUGCGCAUUAGUUUGCGUUGUCGGCUCCUCUGAAAUAAAUUAGCGGAAAUGUUGCCGUGUCAACCUCAGUGUGAUAAUUGUCUACGCUGUUGUUGCUCAGCAAAAUAUAUGUUUCCGCUUCAAAUCGUCUUCGGAC
rnacentral:rRNA from 1 species